rnacentral:rRNA from 1 species
CCUACGGGAGGCAGCAGUGAGGAAUAUUGGACAAUGGGUUAGCGCCUGAUCCAGCCAUCCCGCGUGAAGGACGACGGCCCUAUGGGUUGUAAACUUCUUUUGUACAGGGAUAAACCUACCCUCGUGAGGGUAGCUGAAGGUACUGUACGAAUAAGCACCGGCUAACUCCGUGCCAGCAGCCGCGGUAAUACGGAGGGUGCAAGCGUUAUCCGGAUUUAUUGGGUUUAAAGGGUCCGUAGGCGGAUGCGUAAGUCAGUGGUGAAAUCUCACAGCUCAACUGUGAAACUGCCAUUGAUACUGCGUGUCUUGAGUGAGGUUGAAGUAGCUGGAAUAAGUAGUGUAGCGGUGAAAUGCAUAGAUAUUACUUAGAACACCAAUUGCGAAGGCAGGUUACUAAGUCUCAACUGACGCUGAUGGACGAAAGCGUGGGGAGCGAACA